rnacentral:rRNA from 1 species
AACGAACGCUGGCGGCAUGCCUAACACAUGCAAGUCGAACGAUCCCUUCGGGGAUAGUGGCGCACGGGUGCGUAACGCGUGGGAAUCUGCCCUUGGGUUCGGAAUAACAGUGAGAAAUUACUGCUAAUACCGGAUGAUGUCUUCGGACCAAAGAUUUAUCGCCCAAGGAUGAGCCCGCGUAGGAUUAGGUAGUUGGUGGGGUAAUGGCCUACCAAGCCGACGAUCCUUAGCUGGUCUGAGAGGAUGAUCAGCCACACUGGGACUGAGACACGGCCCAGACUCCUACGGGAGGCAGCAGUGGGGAAUAUUGGACAAUGGGCGAAAGCCUGAUCCAGCAAUGCCGCGUGAGUGAUGAAGGCCUUAGGGUUGUAAAGCUCUUUUACCCGGGAUGAUAAUGACAGUACCGGGGGAAUAAGCUCCGGCUAACUCCGUGCCAGCAGCCGCGGUAACAC